GCCGUGGUGGCUCAGUGAUUGAGCAUUGACUUAUGAACCAGGAGAUCAUGGUUUGAUUCCCGGCCACGGCA
rfam:Myotis lucifugus cont2.17247, whole genome shotgun sequence.